GAGAACACAGCACACGACUGAACCCAAAGCGUGGCACGAGGGAUCCCAAGCUCAGUGCCAAUGUCACAAACCCAUGGAAUGAAUGGGUUGUUCACAAGGCAUGAAACUGGACGACCUUCAUUGGCAUGCCGUUUGAUCAUCUGGGUUACCAAAUCCUUGCCCACAAGUUCAAGCUGUGGCAUAUAGUAGUCCAAGUCCGUGCGUUUAGGGUCCUGUUCUGGAAGACCAUCGUCAAAAAACUCAAACCUGAUAAAACCAUCGCCGACAGGUGUGGGUUCAUCACUGAUGCCACUGUUGGCUGCUCUCAUCUCUUUGCCAAAGUUUUCAGUGGUGGAGAAGCUGACUAAAAACCCCUUUGCAGCUAGGCGUUUGCCUAAUCUGAGCAUAGGGUUUAUGUGUCCCUGUCCUGGGAAACACACAAGAACCAUAUGAGCGGGAAUAAUUUCAGUUCCCAUUUUCUUGCUUAGUUUUUCCUCCUCGCAUACUUGAAGAUGGUUGUCAUCCGAAUCCUCCAGUAUUCGUAGUGUUCUCCAUCAAAGAUUGGAGCUUUGAGGUCGCCACCCCCAGAUCCUUUCCUCUUCGACUUGUAUUGACACUUAGGGUUUCAGCCUUUACCUGAACAACCCCAAAAACAGAUUCCACAAAACGCCCAGAUUUCAGUGAUCAAGAACUAAGCUCUGAGGCCAUGAUAGUGUUUUAUAAAGUUGAUGUUUUGUAUGAUUGUUUUGGAAGGAUUUUGGAUUCAGAGAAUGGUGAUGAUUGCACAGAAAUUCAGAAGGGAAUGUCGGCUAUGUCAGUCUGCUAUUGCAGCAGCUCAUAGCACUCAUAUAUAUGGACUUGGAUUGUCUGCCCUCUAAUUGUGGUGCCCUCUCCGUGCUCUUCUAUUUUUGUGGUCACGGUUAAGCCACGUUAAUAUUUUAUAUUACUAUUUCUAUAAAACAAAAAGAAAUAGUAAUAUAAAAUAUUAACGUGGCUUAACCGUGACCACACAAAACAGGAAAACACGAAAAGGGCACCGAAAUGGGAGGGCAGACAAUCCAAGUCCAAAAUAUAUAUGGCAUCAGUAGGGUUUUAGGUGUGCACAGUCAGCCCUCAUUUCCAUUAGAGCUAGCUGACAAAAACUUACCUACCUUGAUAGUGCAAAGCUAAUCUUAGCCCUUCAUUGGAGCUUUUAAUCUAAGCCUUACACUUGUCAAAAACUAUAACUAAAACUAACUAGCCGUUACAAUUUAAAUAAACUAGCCGUUGGCUCUUUUGUGUUGCUGCUGCAUCCCUUCUCGAUCAAAAUGGGUUGUUCACAAGGCAUGAAACUGGACGACCUUCAUUGGCAUGCCGUUUGAUCAUCUAGGUUACCAAAUCCUUGCCCACAAGUUCAAGCAGUGGCAUAUAGUAGUCCAAGUCCGUGCGUUUAGGGUCCUGGUCUGGAGGACCAUCGUCAAAAAACUCAAACCUGAUAAAACCAUCGCCGACAGGUGUGGGUUCAUCAUUGAUGCCACCGUUGGCUGCUCUCAUCUCUUUGCCAAAGUUUUCAGUGGUGGAGAAGCUGACCAAAAUCCCUUUUGCAGCUAGGCGUUUGCCUAAUCUGAGCAUAGGGUUUAUGUGUCCCUGUCCUGGAAAACACACAAGAAACAUAUGAGUGGGAAUAAUUUCAGUUCCCAUUUUCUUGCUUAGUUUUUCCUCCUCGCAUACAUGUUAUUUGUAUAUCUCCCUACUCUUGUAAGUUUGUAACUGACCACCUACCAUUCUGAGACUUGGUAGGUUACAAAUAAUGAAGGUUAGUUGACAGGACAAAGUAUAUGGGCUACUCUUUAAGUAUGUAAUUCACCAAUUACUAGGACUCUGAGCAAUUAGUUUUGUGGUACGAAAGUUGUUAAGAGAUCACAUGUGCAUAUGUACGAAGAAAUAUUCUACUAAAUAUACAUUUGUAUGAAAGUUGUUAAGAGAUCACAAUGUUUUAGGCCUCACUACUAUUUUUGUCCAUUUAUUUUUUCAGUUUUCAGAUAAAAUAUUCGAUUUAAUAUACAUUUGUGACUCAAUAAAUGGCAACAACUUUCAAAUUUUUUAUAAAUUUUUCCUUAAACAUGAUGGAAAAUAUUUAGCAAGAAUAAAAAAAUUGCAUUUUUUCUCAAAAAAAUAGUUUAACCAUCAUGGUUUUUAAGCGGUUUUAAAAAACUGUUCAAAAAUCGUCAUAAGCUCUAUAUGUUUUCAUCUUCAUGCACUGUGAUGUUUGAAAAUUCAUGUAGAACUUUUCGUUGAUAUUCUUGAGUAUAGAGUAUAGUUUCGUUAAUGUUUUGGGACCUACUACUAUUUGUUUCCAUUUAUUUUUCAAUUUUCAAAUAAAAUAUUCUACUAAAUAUACAUUCGUGGUUUAAUAAAUGGUAAAACCUCUUUAAAUGCCUUACAAAGCAUCUCUUAAUGACCACAUGAAAUGUUUCGUGAAAAUAAAAAAAUUUACAUUUUUUUGAAAAAUGUGAGCUAACCAUCACGAUUUUUAGGUUGUUUUGUAGAAUUACAAAAAUCUUCAUAAAAUCUAUAUUUUUUUCACCUGCACCAUACCAUGAGGUUUUGAAAGUUCAUAUAAGAAUUUUGUUGAUAUUCCUGUGGAUGGAGUCUCAUUCCGAUAAUGUUUUGGGCCCCAAUACCAUAUUUGUCCAUUUAUUUUUAAAUUUUCGGCAUAAAUACUCUAUUAAAUAUAUAUUUGUGGCUUACUAAACUGUAAAAUCAUUUUCAAAUGCUUUAUAAAGUUUUUCUUAACAUGAUAGAAUAUUUCGCAAAAAUACAAAAUUACAUUUUUUCUCAAAAAAUUUGGGCCAUUUCGAUGGGGUUGUCAUGUUAUAAACUGGUGUGGUUUCUUUUGCACAUUUUAUGCCAUUUGGGUUGUCCUGCACAUUUUAUGCCAUCUGGGAUGUCCCAAUCCAAGCUCCUAUUGUUCGUCUAGAGGAAUUUCCGAUGGGGAUGUUUCCUGGCCGACGAGCACACAGCUCCCCAAGAGGUUGGCGCCGGUUGAUAUUGUCUGUCGGGCUUCUGCUUAUUGGCGGGCUGUAAGAGAAGGACAGAGUUAAUUCUAAAAGGUGCCUUUGUGGGGCCUUAGGUGUAGGCCUUGAGGCUCACAAUCAAAAUUAACUUUAGGUGUUCAGGCGUGUCACUGCCAUCUUUAGCAUGGCAGAUGUAAAACAGAUGUUUAGUUUAAUUGUAUAUGCCCGAGAGACCAAGUUAGCUAUGAAAGGUGCCUUUGUAGGGCCUUAGGUGUAGGCUUUGAGGCUCGCAAUCAAAACUUAACCAAGUACUCUAACAUAUAGUGGUUGUUUCGUUGUUGCAGAAGUAUUACAACCGUUAUACUUUAAUCACCCGAGCCCGAAGAGAAGAACGAACCCAGAUAGGUGCCUUUGUAGGGCCUUAAGUAUAGGCCUUGAGGCUUCCCAUCAGAGUUAAUUCUAUACUCAAGUGUUCUGUGGCAAUCAUAAUAUAACAGAAGUAAAACUAAGAAAUAGGCUAAUUACUUGCGCCCCAAGUAACUUCGGACUUUUUGUUAUCAAGGAUUGUCGUGGAUGGGUUAAGUCCACAUAAAGUUCUUUUUUAUGCCUUGAGACCAAGGACUUUUGAUUGAUAAAUCUUGUAUGCCCGAAAGGUUAGAACUUAAAUCUGGUCAUGCUAUGAGUACGGAUUCCAACUUUAUCUUUUGCAUGGUUGGGCACCAUUAAACCGACCAGAUCCAAGAACCAAGAAGCCUUUUAAUCAUAAACUUGCUAGAAAUAAUUUGGAUACAGAUGGAAGUAUACAUCAUAUCAUAUUACUAGAUUUCUGAAUGAAAAGACAAAACAAAGAGGGUCGAGCAAGGCUGAUCGUCUUGCAACUUCCUCUCUUUGUGAUUUACAAAGGGUUUGAGUACUAGAAUGGGAGAUUGGGAUAUGAGUUUACAGGAGAGAAUCGAUACUACAGCAAGAAUCAGACAAGGUAGUAGAGCUUUUACAAAAGCUUUCGGUGAAGGUUGAUCCUGAAAAGGAUGAAGGCUUGGUGUUGACUACAGCUUCGUAUGCAAAUCUAGCUUGAGUAGAGUUUGUGUAUUUGUUUGUUUGAUUAAGUGUCCUUUCUCUUGAUCUCUUUCCCUUUUUAGAUGAUUUGGCUUGGCUGCCUGCAGCAUCGAUCUUGCCCGAAUGCGGCUGAAUGGUAGUGACUCAUCAGCUUUUUUAUUGUACUGCCACUGUAAAGUACUUUUGGGAUGAUUAGCUGGCUAGUCUACAUCACUUGACUUCUAGGUAGGUGAGAGUGGCUCAAGUGAUCUUGGCUCAAAGUGAUCUGCUAGCUUCUGCCUUAAAUUUGGCUGACUCUUCUUCCUUCUCUUGGCUUCUUGGGCUGAGCCUUGGCUUCCUUCCUUCUAUACCUUCUUCUGGGCUAACUUCCUUUUGAGCCCAAAGUACCAAUUUUAACCCAAACACCUAUUACCCGACAAAAGUUAAAUAGGGUUGGAAGAAAGUCGGACUCUAUCAAUUAUAUUCAUCAAAUAAUGUGUCAAUGGAAGAAAAACUUUAGUAGAAAUGUACUUAAGACAACUUUCAUAUUGAAUGUGACAAACAUACAUAGAUUUACAUUUUUAUAAUUAUUCUAACAAUAACGUAACCAAGAUGUUCUAUCUGAAAGUGAAAAAGAACUAAAGGACAUAUAUUAUGAUGAUUCAUUUAGAAAUAAAAUAUGUUGUGGUUAACCAACAAAUUGGAGUCGAAAUCAAGCUUUGGGGUCAUUUUUCUAGCAUACACCCCGCAAUCGAACACCUAAAAGGUCACGUUCACCUAGGGAUAUUAUUAUAUUCUACUCACAUACACAUUACAACAAAAACAAAAAAAACAAAAAACAGGUGUUUUUGCCUAAGUUAAAUGCACUUUCUCAACCAAUCUACUAUGCCCAGCUUCUCUCACAAGUAAAUGAUUGAAAUAAAUAUUUGGUAAAUUACAAAAAAAAUGUUGCCAUCAAAGUUUGUUGAAGUAUAAACUAUUGCAAGUAUAUAGCACAACAAUCACUACAAGAUAAGGCUAAGCAGAAUAACAAACAAACUCAGGUGACAACAAUUGAGUAGCUCUUGCAAGUGACCCUCUACCACAGUAGUAAUGGGGACGAUGCAAUCUUGGUAAGCCUAGUUAGUUAUUGUUUAUUCCAACGAAACCUACAGCUCCAAAAUCUGCAAACUCUCAAUUACUAGGCUAUAGUUCUUUAUUAUUAUUCAUAAUCAACACUAUCUCAAUUAGGCAUAGGCUAUUAAUUCGUUAUUGUUAUUCAUUAGACCAUCUCCAACCCUUGGUUUAAAAUCUAAAAUUUUUAGCCUAGAAAAUUUAGGUUUUAACCCAGAAAAUUUAGGUUGAAUCUCUAUGAUGAUUCAAUCUUUUCUGGAAUGGGUGUUCUCAAGCAGCUGUCAUCUUUGCAUACAACUUCCUUGCUGCUGCGUUGGGGCGACGAUCUGAAGUGAAAGGCCUCAAAUUUAUAGAGCUUGGUGGUAUGAAAGGGGGCUGUGAAAUUUUAUCUACUUAACAUUUUUUCUAGGGUUUAUGAAAUGGGUUUGAUGGAGGGGAAGCCGAUUGCUCUGCAGUUGGUUGCGCCUCUGAUUGUUUGCUUUCUGCUGGGUGCAUGCGAUUCACAUAGGGUGAGUAAGAAAGUAUGAUGCUCAAGUUGUUUCAAUUUUUUAAUUUUUUUCUAUUUAAUUUGAACUGUUAAUAUGUUUUACAUUGUGGAUUCACUUAUAGAAGCUGCACUCUCAUUGUUUAGGUGUAUAAGGAGUCGAUUCGCAGGCAUUUGGUUGCUUAUGGAACUGAAGAAAGUAAAGGUGUGAGUAACCCUUUUCAGCUCAAGGUAGAAAAAGAAAUGUGUCGUUGGGAAAGAGGAGGAAAAGAAGCAAAAAAGUCAUACGGAGCUCGACUUUGGAUUGUCAGCUGCUAAAUGAUUUGUUAUAUUAUUCAAUUGUAAUUUUUUAUUUUUCCUUAUCAGUUAUCGUUUGAAAGAGGUAAAAAGGGAAGGGGACACGGGAAGAGGACCAAAAAGAGAACAAAAGAAUGGUUUCUGCUAUUUCAAUGCUUUAGGUAAGAAAAAAUUGGUAUGCUCUCUUAUAGUAGAAAGAAGCUUUUUUUUUUUUUUUUUUUUUUUUUUUGUUGUAAAAAUUUUAGUUUUUGUUAAUUUUUUUUUCUCAAAGGAAAUCAGCUGAUAGCAGUAUUGCCAAUUAGUUAUAGAAGCUAUAUAUUUUGUAUGCAGAAAUUCAAAGCAUGCAGAGAUCUCGAGUCGAAAACAGAGGUACCCAUACCUUUUUGUUCGAUUUUGGCUUUGCUUUAUUGGCUGCAUUUUUAUCUCUGUUUUCAAUUUUUGGGUUUAGGAUUGUGUGUUUAUAAUUGGCUUGAUUGAAAUUUUGAAGCAGCUAAUCUCAUUCGGAUCUGUUUUGAUGUUGAUUUGUGUUUUUAGGGUUUGUUUGUUUGCUUGGUAGGUUUUAAAUUGAUAUGCAUUUAUAUUUGAUAUCGAGUUGAUUAAAUUUUUAUUAGUUGUAAAUCAUAUUAGUUGUAGAUCAUGAAACAAUUUCAUAUUUGCUUUAAAAGAAUAGGCCUCAUUCAAUGAGAUUUGGAUUCAUGAGUUAUAGCCAUCUGAGAUAGGCAAGAGUGUUUGCAUUCUUUAAAAAUUUAGGAGCUAUAAAAUGCUUAUAAAUUUGAGUUAUUUGAUUACUAUUUUUGUUUUGAUCAUCUUACUAAAUUGUUUUUUUAAAAUUUGGUUUUUCAGCAAACUCUUGCACACGAAAUGACUCCCACCACCCAACAAAUGCAACUGCUGCAAUUUCAAUUGUAGUUCUUGAAGAAAGGUAAAGCUGCAACCUUUCUGUACAAAGUCUUGGAUUUUUAUGUGGGGGACUAUCUCAACUCCUCUCUCUCACUUUACUGCUGAAAAAACCAACCCAGUAGAAAUUUUUCCAGUUCUUUCUCUUAAAAACUACAAAUCACAACUGCCAAACUCCAAAAAAAAAAAAAAAAAAAAAAAAAAAAAAAUCGAAUUCUAAAAGCCAUUUGCUUUUCCUUGGAUUUGGGUUUUGCUUCGAUUCCUACGUUGUCCAAAACUUUGCCGGCUGUAGUGGAGGGGUUUGGUCAUUCGUUCUUAAAGUUUUUGAGUUCCAUAUGUUAUAUUUGUGAUAACUGGGUAUUUUCCGAUAUGGGUUGCUGUUUUUCAAUCCGUUAAGUCCAGAUUAUUUUGCGGUUUUUGCGUUUGUUUAUGUCUGAUUUGCACCCAUUUUGGUCGGAUCUAUUUCUGAUUUUGUUUUCCGUAUGAGCACCGGUUGUUUUUGCAUCACUGUGAAGUUAAUUUUCUGCAAAUGAGGUAUAUUUUCUAACUGCUGUGUUUUGAUUUCUAUUCUGUGUUUUGGUUAAUUUUGGAUGGAAUUGUAACUGUUUGGUUUUGGGUUGGCUCUGAUCCUGUGCUAGGGUUUUCCUGGCUAAGAGUUUUGCGGUUUGGUUCCUCGCUUGGUCAGUUGCAGAUUUACCAACAGUUCCGGCGGUCCUGUUAUUUUUUGGGUAAGUUUUUACUCUUUUUGUUUUUUCCUGGUUUGACAACUCCUUGGUUGGUGUUAGAGUAAAAUGUGUUUGUAAUUUUUUCGAAUGAUUGGAACAUUAGGGUUGCAACAAGAGAUCAGUGAUGUGGUCGAAUCAGUGGUUGAGCGUCUGAAAACUUUGAGCCGCAAGCACAAGCAUGCAACUCUUAUCAAGGAUCCAUGUGUCUCAGUAAAGCGGAUAUUAUGGAGCCCGAUGGUACUCUAUUUGGUAGGUUCUCGAUUUGGUAAGCUUGAAUACGAUCCACGGUAACUUUUUCUAGAAAACUUUUAAGUGCAAUUGUUCUUUCAAACAGGAGUUGCAUAUCCAAUUAUACGCUUAUUUUGGUGGGAAUGAGAUUCACCAGCAUUUGGAGGUAGGUUCUGCGUCUUCUACCUUUUCAGUAUAUUUCAUUUUGCUGUUCUCUUUUCUAAUACUUCUAUAAAUUUCUAGAUCGAUGCUCAUGCUGGUAGUGUUAAUGAUUUGGCGUUCUGCAACCCGGCUAUGCAACUUUGUGCCCUACCUUGCGGUGAUGAUAAGGCCAUUAAGGUUGGUUUUGGAGAAGUGGUGAUAUAAUAGGUCAUAAAAAACACGAUAAACUUAUACAUCGAUUUGUGUUUUAUGGGUACUUUCGAAGGUCAUGAUGCUCCCGUGCAUUCUGUGUGCCCUCAUAACAAGGAAAAUGUCCAUGUAAGGACUUCGCUUUCUCAUUUUUUUAAUCCCUUGAUUUGUCUCUCUUCAUUUGCCAUCUAUGAAUUAUUUACUCUGUUUUGAAACUCAGCUUAUGCCUUUGUGUUUCAGUUUUUCUUUUCAACAUCAGUAAAUGGAAAAAUAAAAGCAUGGCUAUACGACAACAUGGGAUACCGGCUGGAUUACGAUGCUCCUGGUCACUCAUCCACAACAAUGGCCUAUGGUGCAGAUGGUAAAAGGUUGGUAUACCACUCCUUUCUAAUGUUAAUAGUCCAAUUUUUUUUUGAUAUGGUAUUAAUCUUAUAUGACACAAUCUUUUGUAUAUUUGAGGCAUAAUUUUUCAUAAAAUUUGUAAUCCCGCAGCAACGCGCGGGUACUAUUUUCUAGUGUUUGUCCUAUAAGUGAACUUUAGGGGAAAAAAGAAUUUGGCUUGACUAUGUUAGUUUUCUCGUUUGAUUACGAGAAGUUUUAUUUUUUAAGGUAAUUAUUACUAGAUUGAAGUUAGUUGACAAAUGGAUUGAUGAUUAGCUGAUUCUAUGGCUAGUUGACAAUAAGAAAUUAACUUGGCUCCUCAAUAUAUGUAACUACAACAGUAUUAUAACAUUUACCAAAUGCCAUGACACUAUUUUUCCUGAUUCACAAUGCUGUUAAUAUUUCAAAUUAUCAAACACUUAACUACUAAAUCUAGUUUUCAAUGAAUUAUUCUCAAAGCAUAGCAUAAACAAUUAAUUUAUACAAAAAGCUACAACAAUACCGAACUAUAGUACUAGGAGAGACGAAAUUCACAGAAGCAGUAUGGAAAAUGAAAAUUACUCUAAGCAGCACAUGUCUUACUAAUCUCAUCCAGAAAAUCUUGAAGAUUCUGGUCGGAGGAGCAGCCCUCAGCCACCGCCGCUUCCGCUGCCAGCUUCCAUUUCAAUGCGUUUUGCUUCAAUUCUAUUGCCCUCUGUCCAACUGUUGCCUCCAACAAACACUUCCCCACCUCGUCUCUCAUGCUCAAUCUAUUCUCAGCCGCCCCACGGCUCAAUCUAAGCCCUACACCAAACACAUCCACUAAGAACUUUGCAUUGGUGACUUGGUCACCCCACUGAGGAAAUGUCACAACUGGCACGCCUGAAGUGAGUGCUUCAACUGAAGAGUUCCAGCCACAGUGAGUUACAAAACAUGCGACAGAUGGGUGACCUAAAACCUGUUCUUGUGGACUCCAUUUCACCACUUUUCCUUUAUCCCCAACUUUUUCCAAGAACUUAUCAGGUAAAACAUGUUCUUCGAAUCCAUACUCUUUGAUGGCUGGCUUCAUAACCCAUAAAAAUGAUACCCCAGAGCUCAAUAAUCCAUGAGCAAUCUCAUCAACUUGCUCUUGCUUUAAGUACACAAUACUACCAAAAGAGAUGUAUACAACAGAUGUUGGAGGCUUGGAAUCGAGCCACUCGAGACAAUCAUCAGCUUUAAUUAGGUCUCCACUUAUGGUUGUUUUGGGAGGUUUUGGGUUCUUGAAUAAGGGGCCAACGGGCUUCACCAUGCAGAACUGGGACAUGUGCUCGAUGACCUCUGGCUCGAGCUCUUGGAACGUGUCUAUCAACACAUACAUUGAUUUUGAUAACCUCUUGAACUGGCCUAAAAUCGCCCUCCCGAAAACCUGAAAAAUAUUUGCUAAUUCUAAGGUAUCAACUUUUUUUCCCCUUAGGUCUAUGUGGAAAUUCAUACAGGGUACCUUUUCCCAACAUAGUAGAAAGAAUAACAUAAGUUUCAAAUUAGCUAGACUAAAUACUAUGAACAAAUGAAACAUGGUAGUUCUGUUCUAAAACUUUAUAAACUGUUUUGGUAGCAUAAAAAGUGGGAAAUGAUCGCUUCCUUGACUGUUUAUCCAUGCAAAAGGUACUUAUGAUGCUAGACUGUGGAAUUUGAACCAUUGAUCAAGUUGAUUCUUGCCUAAAUUUGUGGUAUAGACUGACAAUCUGCAUGUACAUAAGUAUAAGAGAUCAUUUCCGUGUAUAGUGUACGCUCACCUGAAAUUGGUCGGAAGGGUGCAAGAAGCUGGGUAUCUCAUCGUGCUUCAAAAGCGGCAUACUUGGCAGCUGAACAUCCAAAUUUGGCUCGGUUUCCGUCGGAAAUGGCACUGUCUUGCUGUGAUAAUGGUAAUAAGCCGAGAGCACAGCACACGACUGAACCCAAAGCGUGGCACAAGGGAUUCCAAGCUCAGUGCCAAUGUCACAAACCCACGGAAUGAAUGGGUUGUUCACAAGGCAUGAAACUGGACGACCUUCAUUGGCAUGCCGUUUGAUCAUCUGGGUUACCAAAUCCUUGCCCACAAGUUCAAGCAGUGGCAUGUAGUAGUCGAAGUCCGUGCGUUUAGGGUCCUGUUCUGGAAGACCAUCGUCAAAAAACUCAAACCUGAUAAAACCGUCGCCCACAGGUGUGGGUUCAUCACUGAUGCCACUGUUGGCUGCUCUCAUCUCCUUGCCAAAGUUUUCAGUGGUGGAGAAGCUGACCAAAAACCCCUUUGCAGCUAGGCGUUUGCCUAAUCUGAGCAUAGGGUUUAUGUGUCCCUGUCCUGGAAAACACACAAGAAACAUAUGAGUGGGAAUAAUUUCAGUUCCCAUUUUCUUGCUUAGUUUUUCCUCCUCGCAUACAUGUUAUUUAUAGAACUCCCUGCUCUUGUAAGUUUGUAACUGACCACCUACCAUUCUGAGACUUGGUAGGUUACAAAUAACGAAGGUUAGUUGACAGGACAAAGUAUAUGGCCUACUCUUAUAAGUAUGUAAUUCACCACUUACUAGGACUCUGAGAAAUUAGUUUUGUGGUACGAAAGUUGUUAAGAGAUCACAUAUGCAUAUGUACAAAGAAAUGAAGUCCA
rnacentral:lncRNA from 1 species